rnacentral:rRNA from 1 species
GGGGUAAACCUGCGAAACUCGAAUGAACGAACGGAGAGAUUCAUCGUCAUUCCGCGGCGUGCGGGUGCGCGUUUCUCGAUGUCAGUCGAUCAUCUCACGGUGGUCGGCGGGCACGUCGCGCAUCCGUCCACGUCCGCGGACGGCGUGCACUUCUCUCUUAGUAAACAUACAUCGCGACCCGUUCGAUGUCGGUCUAAGCGCCGUUUGGCGGGAGCCCCGCCGUCCCCUUCACGGGGGGCGACGGGACCGCUCGCGGACGCCGACCGGCCGUCGGACGGUAUAAAAUAUGAAACGCGCACGCGUUUACAGCGCGUCCGGCCCGACGCAAGUCAACGUCGUAUCCGACGUUUCCCGCCCGAGUGCGGACGUUGGUGCGGCGCGUCUGCUCGUUGCCGCCGUGCAGUAUCGGACUGUGCGCGUCUCCGUCUGCGAUGAUUCAGUUUCGGGCACUCGCAGGACCCGUCUUGAAACACGGACCAAGGAGUCUAGCAUGUAUGCGAGUCAUUGAGAUUCAUUUCAUUAAACUGAAAGGCGCAACGAAAGUGAAGGUGCGCGCGCUCUUCUGAGCGCGCUCGCUCAGGGAGGAUGGAGCGUCGAUCUAGGUCGAUCUCUCGCACUCCCGAGGCGUCUCGUUUCCAAUCUGUGAAUGCAGGCGCGCUC